GUUCCGAUUCUGGCUCAGAUUGAACGCUGGCGGGAUGCUUUACACAUGCAAGUCGAACGGCAGCACGGACUUCGGUCUGGUGGCGAGUGGCGAACGAGGUGAGUAAUGUAUCGGAACGUGCCUAGUAGCGGGGGAUAACUACGCAGCGUAGCUAAUACCGCAUGCGCCCUUCCGGGGAAAGCAGGGGACCUUCGGGCCUGCUAUUAGGCAAGCCGAUAUCGGAUUAGCUAGUUGGUGGGGCAACAGCUCACCGGGCGACGAUCGUAGCUGGUUUAGGGGGACGACCAGCCACUGGGACUGAGACACGGCCCAGACUCCUACGGGAAGCAGCAGUGGGGAAUUUUGGACAAUGGGGGAAACCCUGAUCCAGCCAUCGCAGCAGCGAGGCCACCGGGUUGUAAAGCAACACGGCGGAAAAACGGCAUGGAUAAUACCCGAUGCAACGUGUCGAUACUCUGCAGAAUAAACACCCGGCUCUUCGUGCCAGCAAUAUGAUGUUACGUAGGUUUGCCAGCAGUAAUCAGAAUUGCUGGGUGAUGGUAGGAAGGAGGAGGGCAGGAGAGCAGGUAUCAUGUGCGCGGUGGUUCGGAAGAGAUGCCAGCAUCCAGACUUACUAACUUUGGAACUGCAUUUUUAACUACCGAGCUAGAGUGUGUCAGAGGAGGUGAAUUCCGCGUGUAGCAGUGAAAUGCGUAGAUAUGCGGAGGAACACCGAUAGCGAAGGCAGCCUCCUGGGAUAACACUGACGCUCAUGCACAAGCGCCAACCGGGGAGCAAACAGGAUUAGAUACCCUGGUAGUCCACGCCCUAAACGAUGUCAACUAGCUGUUGGGGCCUUCGGGCCUUGGUAGCGCAGCUAACGCGUGAAGUUGACCGCCCAGGGUACGGUCGCAAGAUUAAAACUCAAAGAGAUUGACGGGGAUACGCACAAGCGGUGGAUGAUGUGGAUUUAAUUGGUACAACUUGCGAAAAACCUUACUACCCUUGACAUGUCUGGAAUCCCGAAGAGAUUUGGGAGUGCUCGCAAGAGAACCGGAACACAGGUGCUGCAUGGCUGUCGUCAGCUCGUGUCGUGAGAUGUUGGGUUAAGUCCCUGCCGAGCGCAGCCCUUGUCAUUAGUUGCUACGAAGGGCACUCUAAUGAGACUGCCGGUGACAAACCGGAGGAAGGUGGGGAUGACGUCAAGUCCUCACGUACCUCCAUGGGUGGGAGCUUCACACGUCAUACAAUGGUCGGGACAGAGGGUCGCCAACCCGCGAGGAGGCCAAUCCCAGAAACCCGAUCGUAGUCCGGAUCGCAGUCUACAACUCGACUGCGUGAAGUCAGGAAUCGCUAGUAAUCGCGGAUCAGCAUGUCGCAGUGGGCUACGUUCCCGGGUCUUGUACACACCGCCCGUCACACCAUGGGAGUGGGUUUUACCAGAAGUAGUUAGCUAACCGUAAGGAGGGCGAUUACCACGGUAGGAUUCAUGACUGGGGUGAAGUCGUAACAAGGUAG
rnacentral:rRNA from 1 species